CUCCCCGUUGCUGACCCAGGUUCGGUAGCGCCAAUUAGGCGCAACCUCGCCAAGAACCAACUUCGGUGAAGCGACGGGCGGUGUGUGCAAGGAGCAGGGACG
rnacentral:rRNA from 1 species